GUGCUUUUGGCGAUUUGCAUAUUUGCGUCGCGACUUUGUUUCGAACUUUUGGAACCGCGCUCCCGCAAGCUUUUGUUGACGUUAAGCGGUUCUGGUGCGUGUCUUUUUAACAAAUUAUGCGCUAAACGAGUCACGAGUUCAAGUUCUUCGUGGUAGGCCGCAUGCAGCCUUUAAGGGUCGCCAAGUCGUCACCAAGGGUUCCCCAAGGCUGGUUGCGCAGCCCCCAGGAUGCGUCCAGCGUGAACAGCGGUGUGCGGUGCUCGUGAAUGUGGUGCAAUGUGUCAAGGAACCUUUAGGAACCGCCGUGCCAAGUUACUCAAAGAGAAACACUUCGUUUUGCAUCGGUGGACGUCAUACUGACUGGAUGGAUUCCUGUGACUGCAACUUGUUUUCCUUGGGAGGCCACUUUGCGUGGGAGGACCGUUGCGUCGCCAAAGUCUGCUUCACUGAAACUGCAGCCACCUCCAUGGCGGCGCCGCCGGCGAAGCGGCAGUCCCUAAGUGGCAGAAGUACCUGGCCAAGAAUUAAGCGCCGAAAGUGGAAAUACUGAGGGCCUUGAAGGACGGCGUCUCUCAACAACGAGUGAUGGAAAGGUACGACGUCAAGAGAAGCACUUUGGUCCCGUACGUGAAAAAUGAGGCCGAGAUCCUGCUGGCUUUCGAGAGCGAGAAGUUCAAUGUGAAAAGAAAGCAGCUGCAGAAGGCGGCGCGCCCGAAACUAGG